AUUGAACGCUGGCGGCAUGCCUUACACAUGCAAGUCGAACGGUAACAGGUCUUCGGAUGCUGACGAGUGGCGAACGGGUGAGUAAUACAUCGGAACGUGCCUAGUAGUGGGGGAUAACUACUCGAAAGAGUGGCUAAUACCGCAUGAGAUCUACGGAUGAAAGCAGGGGAUCGCAAGACCUUGUGCUACUAGAGCGGCCGAUGGCAGAUUAGGUAGUUGGUGGGAUAAAAGCUUACCAAGCCGACGAUCUGUAGCUGGUCUGAGAGGACGAUCAGCCAGACUGGGACUGGGACACGGCCAAGACUCCUCCGGGAGGAAGCAGUGGGGAAUUUUGGACAAUGGGCGCAAGCCUGAUCCAGAAAUGCCGCGUGCAGGAUGAAGGCCUUCGGGUUGUAAACUGCUUUUGUACGGAACGAAAAGCCCUGGGUUAAUACCCUGGGGUCAUGACGGUACCGUAAGAAUAAGCACCGGCUAACUACGUGCCAGCAGCCGCCGUAAUAC
rnacentral:rRNA from 1 species